rnacentral:rRNA from 1 species
GAUGAACGCUGGCGGCGUGCUUAACACAUGCAAGUCGAACGGAAAGGCCAGUGCUUGCACUGGUGCUCGAGUGGCGAACGGGUGAGUAACACGUGGGUGAUCUGCCCUGCACUUUGGGAUAAGCCUGGGAAACUGGGUCUAAUACCAGAUAGGACCAUGCUUUGGAUGGUGUGGUGGAAAGUUUUUUCGGUGUGGGAUGAGCUUGCGGCCUAUCAGCUUGUUGGUGGGGUAAUGGCCUACCAAGGCGUCGACGGGUAGCCGGCCUGAGAGGGUGUACGGCCACAUUGGGACUGAGAUACGGCCCAGACUCCUACGGGAGGCAGCAGUGGGGAAUAUUGCACAAUGGGCGCAAGCCUGAUGCAGCGACGCCGCGUGGGGGAUGACGGCCUUCGGGUUGUAAACUCCUUUCGCAACCGACGAAGCUUUUUGUGACGGUAGGUUGAGAAGAAGCACCGGCUAACUACGUG